CCGAUCUCUGCGUGUUCCGGUUCUUUGUCAUCAAUGGGUUGCCGGGCGAGAUCAUUUCGAGUGGCACUUGAAAACGAUUUACGCAAUAUUUGAGUUAGAUUUUGACAUAAGACGUGUUUUAAAGAACUAUUCGGGCUAAUUUAUACAUCCUCCGUGAUAAAUAUCGUGCGAGACAACAGUAUUUAACGCGUUCGAUCUUAGGCCCUUUCGGUAUUAAUGAGCCGUACCCACUUCAGCUGACUGCGUCGUACGCAAGGCUACUCUAACUAAACUAGUAGUAGUCCGGCGUUCGAGGAAGGCGGUCGGGUGUUCGCCGUGGCUGUGAUAUGCGGAUAUGUUAUUGAGGUUUAAAAUGUUUUUGGAACGUUCGCCAUAGGCGUGACGGCGUCUAUAUCGCAACAGUUCGUGUCGAAAUUGUAUCGCGAGACCGGUGAGCGGCCGCCGGGGUCGCAGCGCGAGUGAGUGCCGUGGAGGACGAUCAGGGCGAGCCGAGGCUCAAUAAUGCUCAAAUUCCUGACUCAUAAGCUACGAACGCAUUCGUUGAAUGAGGAGAACGUUUCCGAGAAGGUGGAGGAGCGGGACUCCGGCACCGAGUCGGACGACGAGGCAGAGCGUGCCGACACCGGUGAAUACUGUGCUGACGUCAUCAUGAAAUGGAAUGACGUCACCGACAUCAGUAUGGGCGGUGAAGCAUGCGCCUGCGCGCCUGUUCCGCCGCGACCGCUCGUUGCGCCGGAGCCCGACCAGCUAUACGAUCACCAUUCUUCGGAAGAAGAACUAGAGAUGGUAUACAACAAUCAGUAAUCACGACGAAGACACGAUUAAGAAGUGACAGGAGACUGGUGCAGGUCAUCAAUGGCAGUCCUGCGGGGUCGUCCACUGUGGCAGCGAGAGGCGAAGGCCGACGGAGGGGAGCCUCGUCACCGGCACGCACUGCACCAGAAAAGCGUCGCUGGCCAGCGGAAACCUACCUCGAUGACGAGCUCGCUGCGAGGGCGCCUUCCUCGGACGACGACGACACAAAGGUGGAAACCCCGGUGCGGUUCCGCACGUCGCCACCACUGGAGGCGCUCAAGCCCAGACGCGCAGUGGGCGGCGCGAGCGUGGCGGGCGACGGCUGCGCGUGCGUCGGCCGCACGCCCGUGUCGCCGCGCCGGCGCCGCCUGCCGCUGCCGCCGCCGCGCCGGCACCGCCCCGCGUUAGACUUCGAUAAGAUGCAGCAGCUGAAGGUGGGCGGCGGCGGCGUGCGCUCGUGGCGCGCGGUGGGCGGCGCGCACGGCGGGGAGCUGUCCGUGUUCUGCUGGUGAUGGCGGCCGCCCUGAACACGAGCCGCGGGUUAGAGUGCGACGACUUUACCUCAUAUUCUGUGCAGUGCUCCGGUUACCCGUAACGUGUGUGUGCACAGGAGGAGAGUCGGCCCGCCCCUCGCGCGCCGCUGAAGCCGAGCAUCGCUGACCGUAUUUACUCUACACUACCACUACCCACUUAGCGCAAUAAGAAAACGAUUCCGAUACCCAUCUCCGUCGCGGCCCGCCCCUGAGCUGCGGGGCCGGACGGACGUCGGACUAGCCGGACCCGUCUCGGAGUCGGCAGAGCGCAACGACGCUCCGGUGUUGGAGUUCCUUACGUUGCACUCAAAUAAUGAUCAAAGUACAAACUUACUAAUACUAUUGUAUCGAAGCGCGGCCGCCCCGCGUUGCCGACCCAAUGUAGUUUUUGGAAAUAUUUACUCGUUUUGAAUACUGUGUUUAAAUUAUUGCCACUCUUGAUCGGUUUCGGAUGUUUGUAUCAGUAGUCGGACGCUACCUCUCGUGCGGCCUCGUGUGACCUCGUGCGACCUCGUGCGGCGGGAUCGCAGCGCACGCGGGUCCAAUUGUAUUAAAAGGAGGCCAUCGCUAGUUACACACGGAUUAUCAUUUUAAACUGUCGCCGUGACGGUCUGACGUUGCCCUAUUUGUCGAUGUGACAAAGUUUUAAAGGCUUUCACGAGGUGCGGGUUUCUCCGAUGGGAAUCGUUUUCUACCGGCCGGUCGAUAAUAUUACUUGUGAAUUAAAUGUUUCUAGUGUAGACGCGCGGCGUUAGAUACGCGUAUAAAUUUAUAUAUUGAACGUGUACGUUACUUAGACUUUACUUCGUAAUUCUGUGCGCGUGGAAUGUCACUGGGUAUAAUCGUGGCAGGCGAGACCCGCAUCGCGUGAAACGGAUUAUAAGAGGUGACGUAUCAUUAGAAUCGCCUCGGCUUUUGAUCUCGAAUGACGAUGAGCGGCUCGACCGCUGUCGGGAGUCUCUCCAUACGACUGCCGGUCGAGCCGCACGUGAUUCCUUAAUAGAUUAUCAAAAUAUUUUUAUCAUUUUAAAAAUGUCAAUUGAUACGAACACGAUGCUGCUUUUCGUGCGCUAUGCCUGUGGCCGUCGGCUGCGAACGACGGAACGGGACGUGACGUCAUUGUCAUGGGCGCUCGGUUCGUACGAUAUAUCGGUUGUACCUAGUUGUAACUUAUGUUAGUAGUUUAUUUAGCUGGGCUAAUUCUGUUACUCUUGUUGUGUUAUAAACGAAAAUGAAGAAAAAAUAUAAUAAAAAUGUGGUGCGAGUGGAUACAGUGAAUUUAACGAUAAAGACAUUUAACAAAUUUUCAAAUUAAUACGAUAAAAGUACUAAGACUUUUUUUAAAAAUCGCUUGGAUAAAGAUCGUAUGUACAUAGUGUUAAGUUACGUAGGGUUUAAGUGCAGUCCUAGAUGUAGUAGGUAUAACAAAUUGUAUGGCGGAGGCGCCCGGCGCCCGCUCUUCUGUUAACAAUUCUUAUUGUGUUAUUUUAUUUCUGCUUAAGUUUCGUUACUGACUCGUCCAUGUUGUUCCCCGACCUGUGACCUGUGACCUGUGAACCGACCCGUCACUGCGAGCCCCGACCUCCCGACUGCGGCGGUCGCAUCGUUUUUAUACAAUACUUCAGGCAAACCAUUCCACUGCUGAACACAUCGCAGAGGCGUCGACUUUAUUUUUGCGAAUAAUAACUUUCUCAAAUAUUUUUUGAAAAGGAGAAAUUAAACGAUUUUUACGGAGUUUCACUUGUAAAUUGUACCUAAGAUUUCGAGAAAUUAAAAUGUUUGCCUCUCGACGUGUUCCGCGCGGAGCGGCCCGCAGUGACGGCCGGCCCGACACUCGAUGGUGAUAUUUACAAGAUCAUUUAUAUUAUGUUUUUAUAUACUGAAUUAACAAGCGUAAUAAAGAGUGAGCAAUGGCACAUCUUAA